AAAUAAGCCAACAGCCAACAGCUUUGUUUAUUACAACGUUUUUUUCAAUUUACAAUGUUGUUUGUCCAGACACCAUUUAUAGCUAUAAAAACUUUGCUUUGCAA